AUUGAACGCUGGCGGCAUGCCUUACACAUGCAAGUCGAACGGUAACAGGUUAAGCUGCCGAGUGGCGAACGGGUGAGUAAUGUAUCGGAACGUGCCCAGUCGUGUGGGAUAACUGCUCGAAAGAGCAGCUAAUACCGCAUACGACCUGAGGGUGAAAGCGGGGGAUCGCAAGACCUCGCGCGAUUGGAGCGGCCGAUAUCAGAUUAGGUAGUUGGUGAGGUAAAGGCUCACCAAGCCGACGAUCUGUAGCUGGUCUGAGAGGACGACCAGCCACACUGGGACUGAGACACGGCCCAGACUCCUACGGGAGGCAGCAGUGGGGAAUUUUGGACAAUGGGCGCAAGCCUGAUCCAGCCAUGCCGCGUGCGGGAAGAAGGCCUUCUGGUUGUAAACCGCUUUUGUCAGGGAAGAAAAGGUUCUGGCUAAUACCUGGGACUCAUGGCGGUACCUGAAGAAUAAGCACCGGCUAACUACGUG
rnacentral:rRNA from 1 species